rnacentral:rRNA from 1 species
AUUGAACGCUGGCGGCAUGCCUUACACAUGCAAGUCGAACGGUAACAGGUCUUCGGAUGCUGACGAGUGGCGAACGGGUGAGCAAUACAUCGGAACGUGCCUAGUAGUGGGGGAUAACUACUCGAAAGAGUGGCUAAUACCGCAUGAGAUCUACGGAUGAAAGCAGGGGAUCGCAAGACCUUGUGCUACUAGAGCGGCCGAUGGCAGAUUAGGUAGUUGGUGGGAUAAAAGCUUACCAAGCCGAAGAUCCGUAGCUGGUCUGAGAGGACGAUCAGCCACACUGGGACUGAGAAACGGCCCAGCCGCCUACGGGAGGCAGCAGUGGGGAAUUUUGGACAAUGGGCGCAAGCCUGAUCCAGCAAUGCCGCGUGCAGGAUGAAGGCCUUCGGGUUGUAAACUGCUUUUGUACGGAACGAAAAGCCCCGGGUUAAUACCCUGGGGUCAUGACGGUACCGUAAGAAUAAGCACCGGCUAACUACGUGCCAGCCGCCGCAGUAA